CCAUGCCAGCUCCUCAAAAUUGUAGUAAGUUAAGGCUGGUUUCUCUCUCUCUUUAAAUCGUGUGCAUUUGUCUGACCCCAGCAAGUGGUGUGAUGUGCUUUCACCAUACGGCUGCUUAAACUAACAGUUAUCUUUGGCAGAUAGUAUAACUGCUCAGGCUCUUUUAUAUGUCUGGGGUUCUUACUGUGGUCAGCGCUUCUAGUAUAGCCCAACCUAAAUGAUCUGAGGAGAAAAUAUGGAAAUAAAAUGAUUUUUUCCAGUACUGAACAAAUGGGCUUAGUAGUUAUUAACGUUUUACAAGCAUUUAAGGUUCUCAUUAGUACUUUGAAGCAGAGCUGCCAUUGUUAACAUUGUUGAUGUCUCCAUUGUAAAAAAAUAACCUUUAAAGUUUACUAUUUUGGCUCCUUGAAACAGUAUUCAAAUCCAAGUUCAUUUUUCAUGUCUCUGUAAAAUUGUUCUAUAUAUAUAUUUUUUUACAGAGGCAUUUGGGAUUAAUAUCAUUUCUUUUGUUGAUGUUGCUGCUAGACUCCAUAAUCAUUGCUGACAGUCAGCUUAGAAGAUCAGAGAAGUGGAAUGGAAACCUUCUUGGCUCCACUUGUAGGAGGAAAGGGCAUUGCAGACCACAUAACUGAGGAGGAAGCUUGUGUGAUCAGGAACAAAUGUUCUAUGACAUUCUGAGUGGAAGAAACCUCUAGAAGACAUCAGGCAAAUCCAGGGUUUGGUCAUAUUCACAAAAUAUCUUAAAAACUUCCUUUGUGUGAAAGCAUUUACUGCAAAUAUGUUAGUUGUAUUUUUAUUAGAAAAGGCAGGAUUUAGAGGGAAAUGUAAAAUGUUUUAUUAAACUAGCUGUUACUGAUGGAGAAGUUAGAAAAGCUUUUGGGUGUAUCAGCUUUCCUCCAGGCUUACAUCACUGAAUGCUUUUCUUUAUUUUUCCCUCUGCAUUAGUUACUCAUCAUAAAAUAUAUUCUCACCGUUCAAACAUAUCUUUUGUUUGAAAUCUCUUGCUGUAUUUUCACCCCUGCCAACCUAACCUGUCUCAACUUACUCUACAUUCCCACUAGACUCAUUGCUACUGCUACUCAUUGUAGGUGCUGCCAUUUUUUCACUAGCUAGUUUAAUAAUUUUUCUAACUGUUUAAAAUGUUCUUAUUUUAUACAGUUUUCUUUUAAUAGUUAUUGUUUUCAAAAGUCCUCACAUAAAUUGGAGAGUUUUAGUCAGUAAAACAAAAAGUUAAACAUAUUUAUGUCUAAGUUUUGAAAGGAAAAGUUUUUUUAAAAAAAAUUUAUUUAGGACUAUUAUGCUUAAGAUUUUUCAUGUUCCAGAUAUCUAGAGAUGGAUCUGAAUCAAAACAUCAUAUCAAAAUACUCAGAAAGUCGGGCAAUUCACCAACCCUGAUUUGUAUUAAAACAAAUGUGCAA
rnacentral:lncRNA from 1 species